CCCGGCGCUGCCGCCGCCCUCCUCUUGCUCUCCGUGUCUCCCUUAGUUUUGGGCGCAGGAGAGCCCUGGGCUCUGCACGGGCCUGCAGGCGGCGGCAAGGACACUGCGGCCUUAGCCCUCUUAGGGAGGCCGCUGCAGCCCCACCGGAAGACAUGUAAGGAAUUUGCAUAAGACAGCUAAGCAAAAUGGAGCUGGAGGAGCUUUAUUUGUG
rnacentral:sRNA from 1 species